rnacentral:rRNA from 1 species
UACGGAGGGUGCAAGCGUUAUCCGGAUUCACUGGGUUUAAAGGGAGCGCAGGCGGAUUGGUAAGUCAGUGGUGAAAGGCUUAAGCUUAACUUGGGAACUGCCAUUGAUACUAUCAGUCUUGAAUGUUGUUGAGGUUUGCGGAAUGGGUCAUGUAGCGGUGAAAUGCAUAGAUGUGACCCGGAACACCUAUUGCGAAGGCAGCAGGCUAAACAAAUAUUGACGCUGAGGCUCGAAAGCGUGGGGAUCAAACAGG